rnacentral:rRNA from 1 species
UACGUAGGUGACAAGCGUUGUCCGGAUUUAUUGGGCGUAAAGAGCGUGUAGGCGGCUUUACAGGUCCGUUGUGAAAACUCGAGGCUCAACCUCGAGACGCCGGUGGAAACCGUAAGGCUAGAGUCCGGAAGAGGAGAGUGGAAUUCCUGGUGUAGCGGUGAAAUGCGCAGAUAUCGGGAGGAACACCAAUGGCGAAGGCAGCUCGCUGGGACGUUACUGACGCUGAGACGCGAAAGCGUGGGGAGCAAACAGG